CUCUUUCCAUCUGGGGCAUAGUGGGCAGCAAGUGUUGUAGGGGAGUAGCCUUUGAUCCUUUGUUACUGGGGCGUAGGGAAAUGGUUUUUUUUUUUUUCUUUUUUGAUCCAGCUUUAGGAAGUUAGCACAAAUCGGCUUUAGGUUCCCUGACCCCAGACCCAGGUGUUUCUUGAUCCAGCUUUAGGACGUUAGCACAAAUUAGCCUUAGGCUACCUGCCCCCAGACCCCGGUAUUUUCGUUUUUAUGAUCCAGCUUUAGGAAAUUAGCGGGAAUUGGCUCUCAAUUCCCUGCCUCCAGACCUUAUUCUCCUGCCUCAAGAUCUCUGAGAUAGCUGUGGUCGAAUGGAAGGGAGAAUUCAACCCUGCAAGUUAGGAGACCAUUGCUAGUACUGGUUCAGUCACUAAGGACCUGUGGUGGUAUUGCAGAAUGUCCCUUCACCAACGGUUCCUCUGUUUGUACGGUAAGUCCCAUCAUGUCUAUGGACUUCAGUUUCCAGACAUGAAACACAAGAGGCUUGGACGAGAUUAGAAAUCAAGAACUCGAAUGCGUAUGGUCAGAGCCACGAGAGUUUCCAUAAAGGAACACAACCAUGUGGACAACUUGAUUAUGCCCUACAAAACUAUAGGUAUUCUGACCUGCUCUGUACAGAGGGAUACUAGGGCUUUGGGACAUUAAGCGACGUGCUCAAGAUCAUUUUGAGUCACGCAAG
rnacentral:lncRNA from 1 species